CCGCUGCGCAAUUGGGUUGCAAUAAUGUCAGGAUUUUCCAACAGGGGUCUAGCCGGGUAUUACAUCUGAUGUAACAUAAUAAUUGCUUAAAAUAAGUUAUGAGCUGUCACCAUAAGGCUGAGCCACGUGGCAAGGGUCUGAUGCGCUGAUAUGCGGUCCCACCCAUAGAUAGGAAGACCCGGACACCGUAGCGCUUGGUCCUCCACUAAGAAUCGUCCUCUCCUGAGCAGGAUGGGAUUUCAUAAAAAGUUACUGCUAGUAGUUAUAAUCUAGCAUAUCUUUAUUUUACCUAUAAUCACGGGAUUCCUUAUACACUAGCUAGUACCAUUCAAAUUUUCAAGAGAUUUGAUAACUCCACUUUCUUACAGUAUAAGCUAAUAUGCACAAAAAUCAAGAUACGCAUUCUUAUACAUUUAUUUUGAAUUCUAAACAAUUUAUUACAUUCGUCCAUUCUAUCAGUUGACUGACUUGAGUAUCGGAGUGGCUGCCCAUAGGUGCCAACCACCUUACAUCUUCUCUUUUGUAGACUAACCAAUCACAAUUUAGUUCUAUUUCCAACCACAUCAGUAGCUUAUAAUAAUUAUACUAUUAAUAAUAAUAAUAAUAUUGAACAAAAUAAAUUAUAAUUAUAAUAUAUAUAUCGAGAGUAAUAUUUAAAAACUUAUAAAUUACUACAAUUUGGUUAAUAUUUGAAUAUCUAUUUAGUAUUUAAUUUCAUAAAAAAAUAAAUAAAUAAGAAUAGUAAAAAAAUUAAAAAGUUUAUAUUUAAUAAUUAGAAAUAAUAAAAAUUAAAUUUAUACAUGAUGUUAUUAGUGUAAAUAUAUUAUUAUUAGCUAAAUUAUCUAAAACCUAUUAAAUUUUGGUAAGAAAAAAUGAAAUUAUGUAAGAAGUAAGGAAAGAGAAGUUAUAUUUUAAUUAAAUUAAUAUCAAAACCUGCAAUAGAAUAUAAGAGUGAGAGUGAGUUUAAUGAUGCUUAAAUCAAUUUAAAGGAGUUUUAAGAAAUAAAUUUAAAAAAUAUAAUAAAAUUGGAAAUGCAAAUAAAAAUCACUUUGAGUUUUAUAAGUUUUUCUAACGUUCCAUAUUUAAGAAAAGUUAUAGUUUUAAAGUAAAGUUUUUAAAGAUUCUUAAAAACCUUUAAAGACCUCCAAUUUGAAUCCACUAACUUGGUGGAUUGAUAAAGUCUUCUCUUAGAAAUCUUAAAAUACUUCUAAAAACUUUAUCUUUCUCUCAAAUAAUAAAAAACUUUAUUUUGCUCUACCUCUAUCCAAACAAAAUGUUACAAGGCGAGUGAAAUUAUCUAGACUCCUUGUUUUUUCAUCUUUCUUUUCUUCUUUUUUUGUUUUUUUUUUUUUCAAAAAUAGAUAAUUCAUUAAAUUAGAAAAGGAUACAAGGCACAUGACUUAAAGGUCCAACAACCAUUACAAACAAACCCAACGUAUAGGCCUAUUAUAAGAAAUUCAUCAAAAGCUUAGAACCCUAACAAUGCAAGGCUUCACCUUGACCAGCCAAGGGUACAAAACUCUAGUUGUCGUAGAUAUAAAGUUACCAGAGGGGCCACAGACAACUAUAGAGUGGCAUAGAAGUUAUUUGUUUCUCUUCCUAAAGACGCUAUGCAAGGCAAAAGAAAAAGAAAUAGAUAUAGCCAAAGGAAUCAAAAAGUAAUACCCAUCAACAUACUCAUGAGGAAUGAAAAUAACACGUAAAUGGAGAAGUACCAACAUCCAAACUCUGAAGUAUGGCAAACCACCAAAGAAAAGUAUUAUUGGUCUUCCACUUGCAAAUAGAAUGGAUGGAAAGAAGAAAAACUACAGAUCUACAGCUUUUAACACGUCCAACCUUAAAAGGGGUUGAAAAUAUUUCACACCAAAGCCCUUGAUGCCCUCAUUAAAGGAUUGACAAUAUUUUACACCAAAGUGCUUGAUGCCCUCAUCAAGCUUCCUUACUUUGUAGGCAUAAAUUGCAUCCUUAAAUUACCACAAAUCUGCUUUAUUUUUCUAACUCAUCUUUGUGUUUAAUAGCCUUUUUUAUUUAAGUAACAUAUAUAAUGUAAUCAAUAAAUUUAUAAAAAUAAAUAAUCUAAAUUUAUAAAUCUAAAAUUCGAAAGAGAAAUAAGAUUUUUUUAUAAUUAUACAUAUAUUAAUAAAAUAACUUUUUAAAUUUUAGAUAAGAAGAAAAUUAAUAUAAAAUUGUAUAAUAUGUAGUUAUUAGAUUGAGUUUCAUUUAAUUUGAAAAACAUUUUGUCAAUUAAAUUUUUAUUUGUAAAUAUAAAAAUUUCAAAAUAAUAUUUAAAUAAACUUUUGUGUUCGUUUGAUAAUAAAUAAUUAAUUUUGAUUCUUCAAUUUUAAUUAUAGUUUAUAUAUUGAAAAUUAUUUAAGGAGUGAUUCAAAGUUUGAAAAAUAAACUAAUGCAAAUCUAAAAGACCAAUAAUAAUAAUAAUAAUUUUAAUAUACAUUUAUAUAAAUUAAAAAUUAAAACUAAAAGCAUGUUUGAUAUGUUGGGUAAGUAUAUAUAAAAAUAUGUAAAAUCAAAUUAUAAGAUUUUUUAUUGAAUAAAAUAUGUAAAAAUUUUACAAAUAAAUAAAUGUUACAUAAUUAUAAUUUUAAUUAAUUUUAUAUAAAAAUACUAUACUAAAUUCUUGUUUAAAAUUCAUAUAUAGAGAGAGUUAACAAGUAAACAAAUAUAUAUAUAAUACAAAAUUUUUAAAAAUUAAUAAUAACUAAAAACAUAUAUAAAUAUUAAAAAUUAGUAAGAUAUAAAGUAAAUAUAAUAGAUAAAAAUAAAUAAUUUAAGUUAAUAAUUUAAAAUUUGUAAAAAAAUUAAAAGUUAAUAAAAUAUAAGGUAAACAUAUUAUGUAAAAAUAAAUAAUCUAAGUUAAUAAAUUUAAAAUUUGUAAGAGAAAUAAAAUUAUUUGUUUCUUUUGUAAAUAUAAAUAAAAUAACUUUUUAAAUUGAACGGAGAAAAAUUAAUAUAAGAUUAUAUGAUAUGUAAUUAUUAUAUUGAGUUUCAUAUAAUUUUAAAAAUAAAUUAUUAAUUAAACUUUUAUUUAUGAAUAUAAAAAUUUUAAAAUAAAUAUUUUCUCAAACACCAUCAUUGAAAGCCAAGAAAUAGACAUUAUGGCCAAAGAGAAAAGGAAGUAAAAAUCAUGUUGUUACCCUUAUUCUAUAUCUACAAUAACAAUUAAAGCAAUUGAUUAAAAAAUAAUCUUUAAAAUCUUGCAGUAAUGAAAAUAAUUAAAAUUUAAUUACUCAAUGAAUAACAAAAAAAAAAACACUUUUUUUUUGUCAAUUUUACAACGCAAAUAUUUAAAAUUUUGAACCUUUUUUGAAUGGUAAACAAUUUUGAAAAGAAGAGAAACAAAUUGAAAUCAGAAAAAAAUCCUAUCAUUUUCAUAUUUUGUUUAAACCUCUCUUCUUGAUGAUUUCUUAGAGAAGUUAAAACAACAAGUAAGAAAGUAGAAGGAAGAAUUCAAAGUCCAUGACUUACAUUAGAGGCAUUGCUGAUAAGUUCUCCAAGGAAAAUCUCUUUGUUACUAUAGAAAGUAUUGAUAAUAAAAUUGAGAUGCUGGUUAAUUUCGACCUAAAAAGUGAAGAUAUUGGCCUCAGUUCUGCUUGUCUGCACGUCUACCAUUUGAUUUCACAAAACUCGAAUUCACUAAUUUAUCUAUCCUAUUAUUCUCUCUCUCUUGUUUCCCUACUGUUCAUCUCCUUAGGUGGCCGAUAUUUCUAAAGAAUAGAGCCGAUAUUUCUAAAGAAUAGAACCUCUACCUCUGCUCCGGCUACACAGUCCAGUCGUCUCCGCCAGCAACAAGCGUCCUUAUAGAUCGACUGCCAUCCCAUGAUGCUCUUCAAUCGCGCUUUCAUCCUACUAGAACAUAAUGCCUCCUCCUAUCAACUUGUACAACUAAGCGAUCACCAUGAAAGCAACGCAAUUUUGAGUUUCUUCUUUCUCUGUUUCUUUCUAGUUUCUAAUACGGAAUAUGGAGGAUCCAAAGUCAAUGGUAAUUUUUUUCGUUUUUUCGCUC
rnacentral:lncRNA from 1 species